GUAGCACUGCAAACACAUUCAUGAAGAUAGCUGGUGGCAAACUCAAAGAAAGAUAUAUUGCAACUAAAUUAUUAAAUUUUAUGCUGCUUUAGAUGGUUCGAGUGUUGCUCACUUAAACGCUGUGACACACCUACGCGCUGAUACUUUUCAGACGACUAACUUGUACGUGCCCAACUCUAAAAAGGAAUUGCUUGAAAAUAAUACUUGGGUACUAUUGCCAUUUCUGUAAAUGUUAAAGGGUUAAUGCACUGAAAACUCUUAUGCGGCACAAAUCGAAGAGAACACAAAUUUUUGGGUUAAUGACCAGUCCUACUCGACUAUGUCAAGUGAAUACUCGAUAU